rnacentral:rRNA from 1 species
ACGUUAAAACUUUCAACAACGGAUCUCUUGGUUCUGGCAUCGAUGAAGAACGCAGCGAAAUGCGAUAAGUAAUGUGAAUUGCAGAAUUCAGUGAAUCAUCGAAUCUUUGAACGCACAUUGCGCCCAUUAGUAUUCUAGUGGGCAUGCCUAUUCGAGCGUCAUUUCAACCCUUAAGCCCCUGUUGCUUAGCGUUGGGAAUCUGCGUUACGGCGCAGUUCCUUAAAGUGAUUUGGCGGAGCUACGUGCAUACUCUAGGCGUAGUAAAAUACCAUUCUCGCUUUUGUAGUAGGCCUGGCGGCUUGCCGUAAAACCCCUAUAUUUCUAGUGGUUGACCUCGGAUUAGGAAGGAAU